CUCACUUCUCCUCCUCCCUUGCCUCCUCUCUCCCUCCCCCUUUUCUGCUCCCUCUCCUCCUCCUUCUUUCUCCUGAGACAAGGUUUCUCUGUGCAGCCCUGGCUGUCCUGGAGCUCACUCUGUAGACCAGGCUGGCCUCAAACUCAGAGAUCACCUGUCUCUGCUGGGACUAAAGGUGUGUGCCACCACCACCUGGCUUGGAGCAAGAUGGAGUGGGGAAGGACACUGGGUGAGCACUUAAGACAGGACUUCAGAACUAAGGAAACACGGAGUUAGUGAGUGGAGACUAAGGAGGCACCGUCAUCAGCUUUUAGAAGUAGCUGUCUGGACUAAACAAUGAAAUCUGAGAAUCCUGCUCAGAAUAUCAAAACCAAACUGCAAAGAAGAUUCUCAGAGAAGCUAAGUGGUGAAAAUGACUCAUACUGAACUAACUGCCUGGAAGAAGCAGAAACCAGUUGAGCUGCCUGAAGAAGUUUAGACCAACUGAGGCACCUGGAAAGAACAAUCUCCAACCUGCUGAGCUGCCUGCAAGCUGUGCAGUGAGCUCCAAGUUCCCAGCUUGGUGAGCUGUCACCCAUGCUGGUGUGGGCCUUGUUAAGUCAGCUGUUUUUGAGUCAUUUCUACUCCUGAACUGAACAAACAAGCACUGUACCAUUCAGCCACAUCUGCAGCCCUGAAUUGUACACUGG
rnacentral:lncRNA from 1 species